rnacentral:misc_RNA from 1 species
AAAUUUUGUAUUCAACUCUUUGCUGGUUUUAGCUUCAUUUGACCUGGCAAUUGAAGUGCUUGUUGAACUUGCAAGUCGACAUGAGGGGCUACCUCAGAUUUUGUUAUGCAGAGUGCAUUUUCUUAAAGAGACACUCCUUCUACCAGCUCUCAGUAACAGAAAUGAGAAAGUAAUCAGUGGUCUUGCGUGCUUGAUGUCAGAA